rnacentral:lncRNA from 1 species
GGUUUGAAAUAGCCUUCUUCGACGUGGAGACGACGGUGCCGACCCGACCCGGACAGGGCUUCAACAUCUUGGAAUUCGGGUCGAUUCUCGUUUGCCCUAGGAAGCUGGUGGAGCUCGAGAGCUACUCCACCCUGAUUCGACCCGCCGACCUCUCCGCCAUCGAUUCCCUGUCCGUCCGUUGCAACGGCAUUACCCGCGACGCCGUCAUUGCCGCCCCUUCUUUUGAAGACAUCGCCGAUAGGGUCUACGACAUUCUCCACGGUUAGCUCCUUUCCUUUUAAUUUUUGUUUUCUCAGUUUCUAACUUUGUUUGGCUGCCGAGUAAAUUGAGGGAAAAAUUGGGACUUUUAUCUUUAGUUUUGUACGAAUGAAGUGAUAGUUAACGUGAAGGUUUGAUUUUUAUGGAUGAUUGUGUGUUUGGUUGCUGAGAAAUCGAAGGAAAAUUAGCUGAAACUAAACUAGCUCAGUUUUAAUUUUUGAGUGUUGCUUUGGAUUUUUCAUUUCUGUGGUUGUUGUUGGUGGAUAAUUUUGAGAUCCAUUUUUCGAUACGGCAUGAAAACUUAUUCGAUGAGUGAAAUUUGAUUUUGCGGUUGUUGUGUAUAGAACGUAUAUGGGCUGGUCACAACAUUCUGAGGUUUGAUUGUUAUCGGAUUCGGGAGGCUUUCGCACGCAUUGGUCGGCCUGCGCCAGAACCGAAAGGUACCAUUGAUUCGUUGGCAUUGUUGACACAGCGGUUCGGAAGGAGAGCUGGUAACAUGAAGGUAUUUAUUUUCUCUCCAUCUGUUGGUAAAUGUUACCGGUUAGAUUUUGAUCCGAAUAAGUUCUUUAAAUUAAGGGGCAAAAUGAAAUAUGUGGUUUUGAGGAGGAGGAGCAUUUGUGCAGUUUCUAGGUGUUGAUGUAUGUUACUUGUGAAUGUUAUCAUUGAUACAUACAUGACACAAAUUAUUUUGCGCAGAUGGCCUCCCUUGCAACCUAUUUCGGGCUUGGACAGCAGACACACAGGUAUUUCUGCAAUCCUACUUCGAGUUUAAACUAAUUACUCUUGCCUUCAAUUUGGUUUCCUUGAACUAAUCUUUUAUGUAAUGGAUUGUCAGGAGUUUGGAUGAUGUUCGAAUGAAUCUUGAAGUUCUGAAGUAUUGUGCAACCGUGUUACUCUUGGUAAUGAUAUGAUUUUGAAAGGAUGGUGAACCCAUUCUUGAAUAAUAAAGCAUUUAUAUGAAAUCUCAUGUGAUGGUUUUUUAAUGGUAGUGUAGGGCGGGGUGUUACCAUGUUAGAAUAUAAAUCAAUAGUAUUUCCUUCCUUUUUUCCCUUUGUUUUUUCAAAUUUGAAAUGUAUGAGGCGUAAGACGUAAGACCAGUCUUUCUAAAACAGUACUUGGCUCAACAGAAUAUUUCAAUAGAACUAACUAUAGUCUGAUCUACUCACAGGAGUCGAGCCUCCCAGACAUAUUCACAGAGAAUAGUUGGGUUUCUCCAAAUGCUACCACAAGAAGUCGUAGUGAUGGGAAAUCAUCUUCUACAAAUCAAAUAACAGGGGACAAUCAUCCAAUAACAUCUCUUAGGACUACCAAAGAAGUCUCUAAUCUGGUUGAAUCUAGCACAGCUCGACCAGAUCCCUUUGACAUGGGCCCACUUAGCAAUGAAGUGAUGAAAGAGGUGAAUCAGCCAGAUAUCGCCAUGGUAGAAAUACCUGUGCAAGAGUCUGUUGAGAGUUCUUCCCAUUUGGCUGCAUUGGGGAGUUCCAAUGGCACUAUGGAGUUUUUGCAGCCUGAUGAAAUUUCUAUUCCUUCAAUCUGUGCUUCCCUUGUUCUGUUGUAUCAUGGGCGUCAGAGGAUAAAGUUGUUACACAAAGAUGUAAGUUUGCAGCUUUGCUGUAGGCAUAUGAAAUUGCGGUUUGGGAUCAAUGAAAAGUUUUUUGAUCAUGCUGGCCAGCCACGAUUGAAUAUUGUUUGUUACGCAUCACAAAAUUUGUGCAAAGUUCUUGAUGCAUGUGAUGGCAUUGCACAAAAGUUGUCUAUGGAUUCCGGUAGCAGCUCCGAAUGGAGGCCUGUAGUGAUCCGAAAAGAGGGUUUCAAUAACUAUCCUACAGUGAGAUUACAGUAAGUUUUAGUCUCUCUCUCUCUCUCUCUCUCUCUCUCUCUCUCUCUCACACACACACACACACACACACACACACACGAAACACAUUAUUCCUGCAGUCUAUUGGCUACUGAGAAAGAAUAUUCAUCUGAUUAGAUGUACUUUUUUGUGUAUAAUUUGUUUUUGCAGCAUACAGACAGCAGUAUGUGGGGAUAUUGCAAUAUACGCCACAGAGAUAUAUCAAAAAGAACCUUCUGGCGCCGAGGAGAGGCUCAUCUUCACCAAGUUUGAUGCUUCAGCACUUAGCACCCUUUUCAAACCGCAGACUUUUAUGGAUGCGUUCUUCUCCUUGGAUCCGUAUGACCAUCAGGAGAGUGCAGGCAUUAGGUUGGUGGCAAAGAAAUUGAUUCUUCAUUCCAAUUGAUGGAUGAAUUUGGAUCUCUGAUUUAUUUGACGGGGGAAGUUGCUCUGUAAAUAUGACAUGUAAAUAUGACAAGUAGAUUGACAUAUUCAGGAUGAUAGUUGUGACGUGUAAUUGCAGUUUGUGUUAAUGUUAAUUCUUUCUUAUUAAAAUUCUGUGCUACCAUAUAUGUUCUUUGACUAUGCACUCUGAUCAAAUCAAUUUAUUAGAACCAAGUUAUUAUUACAGUUUUCGCACUUCCCUUUUCUACUCAUGCUCCUUCCUUUUGUCCUAGCCUUUGAAUUCAAUAAAUCAAAUUAGAUCAGACAACUGAUACACCGAGAAAGAGAAAACGAGAGUGUGAAAAUCACUACGGUAAACAAUUCGAAAAGGAAACUCUUAAUAAGUUUGCAACUAAUUUGGCAACAUUGUCUCUUGUGGCCAAGAUGGUACCCACUUUGAGAUUUGCGAUUGUGAGCAAGAAAAUAGGAAACUUGUAUACUAAUAAAGCCAAAAAUCUCCUUUUAAUCAAGCCUUAAAAAUUCGUAAGAUAUGAUAAUUUCUUUCGUAACUCGUUAACUACCGUGAUUUAAAAACCCGUUAGGACAACAGAACAUACUACACAAACACGACAAAGAUCAUCCGUUUACCGGGUCUACUUCCAUCGGACACAAGACUUUCUCGUGUGGUCACUUCUUACAUUUGGCCAAGGAAGCAGAAGCCGCAUUGCACAACUGCUUUAUAUACGAGCGGGGAUUUGGACACUUGGAUGCAAAAAAAUGGCGAGUCGGAGCGAGGAUCGGUUCGAAAUAGCCUUCUUCGACGUGGAGACGAUGGUGCCGACCCGAUCCGGACAGGGCUUCACCAUCUUGGAAUUCGGGUCGAUUCUCGUUUGCCCUAGGAAGCUGGUGGAGCUCGAGAGCUACUCCACCCUGAUUCGACCCGCCGACCUCUCCGCCAUCAAUUCCCUGUCCGUCCGUGGCAACGGCAUUACCCGCGACGCCGUCAUUGCCGCCCCUUCUUUUCAAGACAUCGCCGAUACGGUCUACGACAUUCUCCACGGUUAGCUCCUUUCCUUUUAAUUUUUGUUUUCU